GAACCUGGACCCUCAGACACAAAAGAGAGGAAGAGGAGGGGUGUUUCUGUGGAGGAGCAGCUGUCCUGCUGUUCUUUGUGUCAGGACGUCCUGAAGGAUCCAGUCUCUACCAGCUUUAUACACGGGCUCUUGGGACGGUUCAUCACCUCAUACUGGGACCAGUCUGCUCCAUCAGGAGACUCCUCCUGUCCCCAGUGCGGAGAAAGAUCCAGAACAAGAGCUGGACUGCAGACAGACAGUCAGACCAGCACUGUACAAACAGAAAGUGGUCUGCAGGAGGUUUUAGAUGAACAUAAGAUCAGUCUGAGGAGGAGAUGUGAAUGUGUGACUGAAGGAAGUGAUGAAGCAGGAAG